UAAGGAAUAUUGGACAAUGGGCGCAAGCCUGAUCCAGCCAUCCCGCGUGCAGGAUGACGGCGCUCUGCGUUGUAAACUGCUUUUAGACAGGAAGAAACGCCUUCAUUUAUGAGGGUUUGACGGUACUGUCAGAAUAAGCACCGGCUAAUUCCGUGCCAGCAGCCGCGGUAAUACGGAAGGUGCAAGCGUUAUCCGGAAUCACUGGGUUUAAAGGGUGCGUAGGCGGAUAAAUAAGUCAGAAGUGAAAGCUCGUCGCUUAACGAUGGAAUUGCUUUUGAUACUGUUUAUCUUGAAACAGGUUGAGGUUGGCGGAAUGUGGCAUGUAGCGGUGAAAUGCUUAGAUAUGCCAUAGAACACCGAUUGCGAAGGCAGCUGACUGGACCUUGUUUGACGCUGAGGCACGAAAGCGUGGGGAGCGAACGGGAUUAGAUACCCCCGUAGUCC
rnacentral:rRNA from 1 species